CACGUUGUAUAAAUAGUUGCUACACCUAUGAAUCAAAUCCAUAAUCAUCUCCCUUCAAAAUUAUAAGUAGGACAAUAUAAAAAAAAAAUGGGAAAAAUCUCAGCAGUUUUUGUCAUUCUUUUCCUGGUCUCAUCAUGCAUGGUAAAAGCGACUGUUACAUUGCCUUUGAUAAUAUGUCAAACAGACGAAGAUUGUCUGAAGGUUGGACUCCCAAAAUGUGAGGACACAGGGAAGAUGCCAAUUUGCCUCCACAAUUAUUGUGGCUGUCCCGAUAAAAGGCAUCCAGCUUCCCCCACUUCUUCAUCAGUGACCUCGAACUCUUGAUGAUCUUCGUAUACAUUCAUGUUGAUUUAAUAUAAUGAAAAGACAAUAUAUAUAUAUAUAUAUAUAUAAAACUCCAUCGUUAUUUUCUCUCCA